rnacentral:rRNA from 1 species
AGCAGUAGCCACGGGAAUACGAACCGUGCGAACGUUAUUCGGAAUUACUGGGCUUAAAGCGCGUGUAGGCGGGCCGGCACGUCCGACGCUGAAAUCCCCCGGCUCAACCGGGGAAGUGGCGGGGAUACGACCGGCCUCGGGGGGGGUAGGGGGACCUGGAACUUCCGGUGGAGCGGUGAAAUGCGUUGAGAUCGGAAGGAACGCCCGUGGCGAAAGCGAGGUCCUGGACCCUUUCUGACGCUGAGACGCGAAAGCCAGGGGAGCGAACGGGAUUAGAUACCCCGGUAGUCCCUGUCUCUUAUA